GCUCUAUUUCUCACAGCCUAGAAGGUAUAUGGGAAGAUUAGCGUGGCCCCUGUGUAAAGAUGACACACGUAUUCGUGAAGCAUUUCAUAUUUUG
rnacentral:snRNA from 1 species